GGCUGAGGCAGGAUCCUGUGCAGCAGCCCUGGGUGUCGAUGAUGGUGGUGAUCAUGAACAUCCCAGGAAGAGAAAAUGACAAGAAGACAGGGUUUCCCCAUGCAGAGGAGACCUUCCAGGAGCACUGGGAAAUGGGGGCCAAGAUUGGUCCACACUGGCUUCAGCUGGUGUGAUGAAGAAGGUACCUCAGUGCACCUGAAUGGCCACACCAGAGGAUUCUGUUUUUAAAGACCUCCCAGCCCCUGCCACAGAAGGAGAACAUCAUUUGCUUGGCUAAUGAAAGUCCUCUUCACAUCCAACA
rnacentral:lncRNA from 1 species